AUUGAACGCUGGCGGCAGGCCUAACACAUGCAAGUCGAACGAGUGGCGGACGGGUGAGUAAUGUCUGGGAAACUGCCUGAUGGAGGGGGAUAACUACUGGAAACGGUAGCUAAUACCGCAUACCAUCAGAUGUGCCCAGAUGGGAUUAGCUUGUUGGUGGGGUAACGGCGCACCAGGGCGACGAUCCCUAGAUGGGCUGAGAGGAGGACCCGCCACACUGGAACUGAGACACGGGCCAGACGCCGACGGGAGGCAGCAGUGGGGAAUAUUGCACAAUGGGCGCAAGCCUGAUGCAGCCAUGCCGCGUGUAUGAAGAAGGCCUUCGGGUUGUAAAGUACUUUCAGCGGGGAGGCGUUACCCGCAGAAGAAGCACCGGCUAACUCCGUGCCAGCAGCCGCGGUAAUUC
rnacentral:rRNA from 1 species